GCUAGGCCACCUGCAGUGAUGACAAAAGGACCCCAUGCUGGCUAGGCCACCUGCAGUGAUGUCCCGGCUUUCACGUGGGACCAUGCGGAGUGGAGAGGGACUCCAACCAGCGCUCUCUGCAUGCAAACUGUGGGGAGCUGGAAGCACUUUGACUUCUGUUUGUGCCUGAUACCAUCAGGUGACAAUGGGGAAUCCAGAGGUGUCAUGUGGACACUGACCUAGUGUGGAAGAUGCUGUGAGGGCUCAGUGGCCAUGUCUGGUGGCCUGUAUCCAAGCUUUCAUCAUGGAUGGGGACGCUCAGGUCCUGGACUGCAAGAGGCUGUGGAGGGUCCAGAUUUUCACUGUAGGUGGGGACAGACACACUAGGAGGAGACCUGUGCCCAGCUUGUUCACUCAGGGUGUUGGCCUGAGCUUGGGGUGGACUUCUGCCUGCACUGGUGGACACUCUGAGUGAGCAGAACUGAACAUCACAUUGUCCGACCAGGGUCCCUGCUGGCAUGAGUGAUGGGCCCUGGGGGCAGGGACACCUGUCCAUUUGUCUGUCGGUGUUCGCCCUUCCCCUUUGUAGCAUAUCAUUGCAGAUUCCCUGGGAAGAAAAAACACGUUGGAAACGAGGGUGCACAGAGGGCAUGUCAGCAGCUCCUAUCUGCUCAUCUUGACUCCAGAGGAGCUUUUCUGGGUUUGGUGGAUUCACUGUUGUCUGGGAGAUGAGGCUGAUAGCAUAUGAUAGGGCAGAGAUGAGGGGAAGCAGUUCUUCCACUGCUAACUCUCACUGGUCUUCUUCCCAAUCUGCAGUGGAGCCUCCUCACUCCUAAGAUCAACUGUGAGUAGGUUACCAGAGUUUCCGAGGAGGACUGUCACCCCCCUCACAGGGGGAUUCUCAAGACACAGAGCAGACAGGCGCAACCUGCUCAGACACAGCUGUGCAUCUGGGGGUGCAGAGGCACAUGCAGAUGUUAGGCAGCAGUGAGGCCCGGGAGCACACCUCACAGGGUCUGUGCAGACGGCCCCACCCACUCAAGGUGGCCUGCUUGAGACGGGAUCAUUCUACCCCCAGCUCCUGUGGGAUGGCCAGGGGGGCUGAGGCCUUGCAGGCCAGGCAGAAGCCGUGGCACCAUCUCAGUCCCCAGUGAAGCCUCAGGACCCUGAGCGCCCUUCCUACAGUCUGGUCUGAAACUGAAAUGUGCUUAAUGUGUGGCUUUUGGUUUACCUUGUGCUUAGAUGUGCUUGUGGUGAAUAAAAUAGAAAUAUGAAACGUUCCUGAGCAGUAGUCUCUUUGGUCUGUGUGAACACAGUAAUGCUGAGCAUGCAUUCACAAGGAAUUUUCAGGUAAAAGAGGGUUUUCAUCCCAACAAAUGGGAGCCUUCACAGCCGCAGGAAAGUGCCUCGGGUCUUCCUGAGUGACCUGCAUAAGCGGGAGCCUUCGUUCCAGUUGGUGAGCAGCUGCCCAUGAGAAGGCACGAGGCGGGUGGAAGCACCCUUUGGGCCUUGCAAAGCUUGUCUGAUGAAAUUCUGUCUUCUUGUUCCGUCAUGGACACCUGUGCUCAGGGGAACCCACUGUCCUGGGCACCACCCUGGGGUGGUCAGCUCCUUGUCCUUGCUGAAGAGGGCUGCAUUCCAAGAACUCUGAGCAGGGUUAGCCACCAUGUCACCACAGCCCUCACCUGUGACUCCCUGGGAACCAGGCUCUCGGGGACAGAGUGACAGCACAAGCUGCUGCUCCUAGGUGUCAGAACCUGGUGUGUCUGCUGGCCACAUCCCAUGGUGGAGCCAGACCAAGGCUGACGGUCUAGCAUCAGGACCUGGGGCUGGUCAGGCUGCAGCAGGACAGAUGAGGAACUAGCAGGAAGCGGGCUUAUUAGCUGCAGCAGUCCAGAAUGGCUAUUGUCUAAAAAUCUCUGGACCCCAAGUCUGGAAAUUCUUUAAACUUUACACCCAGUGGGGUGGAUCAUGUCAGUCAGUGGGUACAUAACAGUGCACUUUGUCCCAUAUUUCUAGGCUGGACAGAGGUUUCACAAGUUUUUACCAUAGAAAGCAGAAGUUGGGUUUGAGGCUCAGUUACAGCACUUGCCUUACACGCAUGAGGCCCUGGGUCCAGUCCUCAGCACCAUGUUAUAAAACAAAUAAAUAAAAAAUAAAGAUUGUUUUCAGGUACAACUGAAAAAAAUUUAAAUAAAAGAAAGCAGAAGUGCUAAAUUUUUUGUACUUCACUAAGUGUGCUGGUAUAUUUAGCUUUUGCAUGAAAGAGCAACUUAGUCCUUACAGAAAAUAGAAAGUUUCAAACCACAUUGAGUUCUUUGCAGAAAUUUUUGCUAAUAUCUUGUUAAUAAGAACAAUGAUGGUGAGGGUCUCUAGAAAAGCCCACCACGAGACAGUAGUAAAGGCCACUCAGGCGGCCCAGCAGAGCCCAGGUCUUCACAGCCAGCCUGGGACCCGGGCUGCAGUUUUCUCUCUGCCGAGACAGGGAUCAGGUGGUGCCUCCCUCACAGUGAUGCUUCGACGGAUAAGGGGGCGCCAGCACUCCUCCUGAGUUUGGUGUGGCAGUCACAUGGCCCUUCUUGUCACCUGUCAGCAGGUGAAUCUACUCUCCCUUGUGGCACAAAUGCCACCCACUGUCCUCAGCCAGGCUGGAACUCACUUGGAGAGGGUGGAUUUUGAGUUUGAAAAGGUAUGCAAUGUUUGUGGGAUGCCAUUUAAACUUUUAAAAAUGAAAAUAGGUACAAAGUGAACAGAGAGAGUGGAAUGGAUGGUGGAAGCUGUGAUCUCUGAACCUCUUACCACCCAGCCAGGUGUGCAGAUGAGUCAGGACAAUGCUGCCACUCUGCUCCUAGUGACCAAUGGAUUUCAAGGUGGACAUUCUUAAAAAUAAUAAUAAUUAUAUAUAUAGAGUUGUAGAUGAACAAUACCUUUAUUUUAUUUAUUUUUUUAUGUGGUGCUGAGGUUUAAACCUGGUGCCUCACACAUGCAAGGCAGGCACUCUACAUCUGAGCUACAACCCCAGCCCAAGUUAGACAUUCUUGACCCUAAUUUAAGGCCUACUUCAGUGGUAUAACAGGGUGUCUAGAGAGAACACUCCAUUAUUUAAGAGAAGCAUUGGUAACUAUGCUCAGUGGAACUGAAGUCAGAAGAAAUGAACUGGUGGCUGCUGAUAUUUCCUCACCUGGCACAAAUCCGGGGAACAUGGUGGGGAGGGGCUAGGCAGCCUGGAACAACAUCUCCAUUUUGUUGAAAAGGCAUGGAAAAAUACUUCUAAUUAGCAGAGAGCUCGGCAUUGAAGGGCAAACGCAUAAGAUACUGCAAUGUUGCUAACUGAUGCCUUACAGAGCCUUGAAUGAGUAGAUAGUGACUGCUAACUCCAUGGCAAUAAUCUCUGGCUGUAAUUGGAGAGCUACCCUUUGGAAGCAGAGCUCUGGGAAAUACCUGCAGAAAACAGUAUGAGAGAGAUCUGCCCCUGUCUUGUCUUUGAGAAUGUUAGCCCCGCUGUUACAGCUGCUCUUCUGACAGGCCUUUCCUGCUCCUUUCCGACUCACUUUCUUUCUGCUGCUUGUUUUCUAUUGGGGAAUGUACUGCAGUCUUCUCCUGAGGCUGAGGCAUUGGUUAUGUAAAUGUCCCCAGGAACAGGGAGACCAGGAGAAUAACCCGAGUUCUGUGUCCCUGGGGUCUCAGGUGCCAGGCUCAGGAGAGAGUAGGGCUUCAGCCCAGCAGGUUUCCGGCAGCCCCAGGCACUGCCCCAGCCUCCUGCCCCCACACCUCCCCACCUGAGGGCAAGAGCAGGGCAGGAUUCAGAGAAGAGGGGAGUCAGGGAAUGGGUUCUGCUGCUCCCUGGGCGCCCAGCACAGGGCUGAGUGUUGGAGGAACCCCAUGCACCACUCUGCCUGGGACACGGCACUAUGUGACCACUCAGCGGAGGACUCCUCACUGCCCUGAGCCUGGACUGGGUCAUUGAGAAGGAGGAAUGGAGAUGCUCGGAAGACAGCAGGGUCUGAACGAAGCUGUGGCUUGGCACCAGUUUCACCGUCUGUGGUCAGCUCUGAGCAGCCUGGCGUGAGAGGCUGGGGAGAAGGACAGCCAUGGGAAGCUUGGGAAGCCUGGGAGCUGUCUCUGAGGCCAACCAGGCCUGAGUCCUGGAGCACGCUGCUCUCUGGGCUCCCGCCCUGCCCUCCUCCUGCCAGGCCAAGGGCGGAGCUGCCUCCUUCUUUCAUGAAGAGAUUCACAAUUCCUGCACCAAUUCUGGGGGAUACUUUGGCCUUCAGCUGUGAGUCUUAUGAAGGCAUCUCUGAUUGCUGUUACCCAUGUCAUCAGGCCAGAUCGUCUUUGUGUUCCUACCUGGAGCUGUAGGUAGCUCCCACUUCUUGUGUACCCCACUGCAGGGUGAGGACAGCCCCUGACUUGUGGCUCCUUCCCUUCACCCACUCUAGUCCAUCUGGGUUUGCAGAAGACCAGGACAGAGGGGGCCUGGCUCCCUCUUUCACAGCUCCUCUCCUGGGCUAUGGUGAUGAACCUGAGAGAAGAGCCUCACAGGGAAGUCUGCUGCCGGCCUCGCCUCGAGGGGAGUGGCUCCAGAACCCUGCCAGCUGGAGGUGGGCUCUGCAGCAUCAGGGGGCCUGGCACUCAGGGAUCGGCCCUGCAAGGCUGCUGAUGUCAAAGCCAAUUUUCUCUUGCACCUGGGCUCCCUGCCUGUCCAGGAACGUCCUAGCUGCCUGCAGGGCAUAGUUAUGGGUAAUCUGAGCUUCUCGCCUCACUCACCUGCCAGUUGUUAAAAGUCACCAGGUUCCAGCCACCUCAUGGUAUUUAUUUCUCUCACCCAGUGGUUCUUGCACUUGCCUGAUCAAUGAGUCAGUCUGGAAUGCUUAUCACAAACCCAGAAUGCUGGCUGUGGCCCAGCAAGUCUGCAUGCCCAUGUACCUCAGGGUCAGAACCUGCAGCAGGCUCUGCAUGAUGCUAGUUGUCAUGAGACAAGUUGAAAACACUGCUCGUCUUGUGAACCUGGUCUCUGACUUGUUGGAAGGAGAAGAGCCAGAGAAGCGUCCGACCCAGGUUCAUGUGGAGUCUGUGAUGUAAGCUGAGUUUAAUAAGUCAGACCUGCUGGAUGUCAGCAAGGCCAGAAGCAACCGCUGCUCCAUGAAACGUUUUGAUGCUUGCUUCUGAAAAUGAAAAGUUCGUUUUUGUCUUUGAAGAUAAUUCAGUGCCUUGAACAACUUUAGUGCUUUCCCCAUGAGCUCCUUCAGAAACACAGCCUUGCCGCUAGACGCGAGAAUGGAACCUGCCCAGAGCCGAGGAAUCGUGACAGCAGAGGUGGGAGAAGACAACCUGGCUCCACACCUGUUACUAGCAUUUCUCACCACGCUGUUCAGACCAGUGCACUUCACUCACCUGACCAGAGGGGCCUGAACAGCAAGCUUCAACUUGUCAGUGCAACAAGUUACAAGAGGGGGUAGCAUAGACGUCAGCCUUGAGGUUUCUGAGAAAUCGUCAAAGGACAGAUGAGUGAAUGGACCACUUACUCAGAGCGGGGUCCUCGGAAGGAUGGUGAUAAAGUCCACUGCCCCCGUGUGCCAAUCACUGCAUUUCUGCAUUCCUUCCCUAGGUAAAGAUUUGGCUGGACUACUAGAAUCAGUGGGUUCUUAGACUUUUCUCAAGUAUUUUUCCUUAAGUACAUUAAAUGUGGUCCAUUUUAUUUAAGACAUUAAUUUUCCCAUUAGAAUAUACCAGAGAUUCUAGAAUUGUACUGUUAGCCCUCAUUUCUCACCCUCUUUUCCUGAAAAAACUCUUUGGAUAAACAGUUUAUCAAAGCCCAAGUCAGCAUCACUUGGUGACAUUCAGUUUGAUCUCAGAUGCAGCACACCUCUCCUAAUAGACCAUGAGGUAUUUUU